GGGGUUAUAGCUCAGUGGUACAGUGCUUGCCUAGCAUGCAAGAGACCAGGUGUUCAACCCCC
rnacentral:tRNA from 1 species